rnacentral:rRNA from 1 species
CCUGUUUUUCAAAAACAUGGCUCCUUGUAAACUUUAAAUAAGGAGUCGGACCUGCCCGGUGAAAAUUUUUUAACGGCCGCGGUACCCUGACCGUGCAAAGGUAGCAUAAUCAUUUGCCUUAUAAUUGAAGGCUAGUAUGAAUGGUUUGACAAGGAUAUAACUGUCUCUUUAUAAUUUAAUAGAAUUUUAUUUUUAGGUGAAAAAGCCUAAAUAGCAUUGAAAGACAAGAAGACCCUAUCGAGCUUAAAAAAAAUUAAUAGACAAAGAUUAAUAAGCCUAGAAAAUUAGCUAUUAUAUAUUUUAGUUGGGGCGACUGAGGAACAAUAAAAGCUUCCUUCAUCUUAAUUAAAUACUAUUCAAGUACUGAUCCAGAAUUAUUCUGAUUAAGGAAAUUAGUUACCGUAGGGAUAACAGCAUAAUCUUUUUCAAGAGUUCUUAUCGAAAAAAAGGCUUGUGACCUCGAUGUUGGACCAGAGUAUCCUAAAGAUGCAGCAGUCUUUAAAGGUUGGUCUGUUCGACCAUUAAAACUCUACGUGAUCUGAU